rnacentral:rRNA from 1 species
CCUAACACAUGCAAGUCGAACGGAACUGUUUUGAAAGAUUUCUUCGGAAUGAAUUUGAUUUAGUUUAGUGGCGGACGGGUGAGUAACGCGUGAGUAACCUGCCUUCAAGAGGGGGAUAACAUUCUGAAAAGAAUGCUAAUACCGCAUGACAUAUCGGAACCACAUGGUUCUGAUAUCAAAGAUUUUAUCGCUUGAAGAUGGACUCGCGUCCGAUUAGUUAGUUGGUGAGGCAACGGCUCACCAAGACCGCGAUCGGUAGCCGGACUGAGAGGUUGAACGGCCACAUUGGGACUGAGACACGGCCCAGACUCCUACGGGAGGCAGCAGUGGGGGAUAUUGCGCAAUGGGGGCAACCCUGACGCAGCAACGCCGCGUGAAGGAUGAAGGUUUUCGGAUUGUAAACUUCUUUUAUUAAGGACGAAAGACGACGGUACUUAAUGAAUAAGCUCCGGCUAACUACGUGCCAGCAGCCGCGGUAAUACGUAGGGAGCAAGCGUUGUCCGGAUUUACUGGGUGUAAAGGGUGCGUAGGCGGCUUUGCAAGUCAGAUGUGAAAUCUAUGGGCUCAACCCAUAAACUGCAUUUGAAACUGUAGAGCUUGAGUGAAGUAGAGGCAGGCGGAAUUCCCCGUGUAGCGGUGAAAUGCGUAGAGAUGGGGAGGAACACCAGUGGCGAAGGCGGCCU